UGUAACUGAAACAGUGCACUGCUCUGCAUCCCAGCGCAUUUAUUUUUUAAAUCCAUUUCAUUCACUAUGUUAUUAACAUGUCAAUACAACAACUUAUUCUGCCCGACUGCAUUGAGGCAGAGUAUUUAUUUGGUCAGUAACUCAAAUAGCCAAGCUGUUGAAAGUAUUCUAAACCUAGGACAUCAAGAGAACCCCAAUUUACCGUGAAGUUGAGUUUUCUUCUAUUUUUUAAUGAGAUGCUCUUUUAUUUUGGCUACUCUGUGGGUACAUGUGUUACCUAAAGCACGUUUGAUGUUGCUAAGUAGGCUAGUUUAUAACUUCGGUAGCAUUGAAGCUGUGUUACGUUGCUCAGCGGUAGAUACGCACCGUUCCACCUACCACCCCAUGCAUCAGAUAUUUUGGAGAUUUUCCAUCACCACCAUGGCUGCCGCUUCUUGCUAAUGCACCAACUCAAGCCACAUUCUCGGGCGCACGACUGCAUUUUUGCGAGACGGAUUAAUUUCCCAACGCCCAGGCGGCCGGCAGACGAACCUUGUUUAACUGACCCUGAUUGGUUGACAUGAACACGCACAGAUUGUAUGGAUGGUGUACAGUGAUACCAGUGAGAAUGGAACUACUAUUUCACCCCUGCUUCUAAAUACUACAUUGGCUGAAGGCCCAGUGCUAGAAGGCAUUAUGACUGAACAAGGCCCAACUCUGCUUGGCUCUCUGACUUGAAUGGAAACAAUACAGCAACUUAGAGAAAGAAGCAACAACUCUACGUGCAAGUUUGUCACUGUACUACCAACCCAGGAUGUAAACCACUGUACACCACAACACACACACACUUCCAAAGCCAUCUGAUUGUGUUGUGUCUAUGUCUUUUCUCCUCCGUGGUGGAUAAGGGAUGGGGAAUGAAGGUGGGACUCUGGCCUGUGCUAUGAGAAUGGUCAUGUGACAUGACAAGGGCUAGACAACAAAAAAACAUGACAGAUCCAAAAAGAACAGGUAUAAAGACAUUGUAAACAAUAGAUAUAGAAUCUAAUAAUUCCAAUUAUAUGGUUGUAACUUGCUCGGAACAUCACAUUCUCAAUAAAACAAUGUUAAUAGUAUGAAAUAAUUGAAUAAAUGUACUAU